rnacentral:rRNA from 1 species
AACGAACGCUGGCGGCAGGCUUAACACAUGCAAGUCGAGCGCCCCGCAAGGGGAGCGGCAGACGGGUGAGUAACACGUGGGAACCUUCCUAGAGGUACGGAACAACUCAGGGAAACUUGAGCUAAUACCAUAUACGCUCUUGCGAGGAAAGAUUUAUCGCCUUUAGACGGGCCCGCGUCGGAUUAGCUAGUUGGGGGGGUAACGGCCUACCAAGGCGACGAUCCGUAGCUGAUCUGAGAGGAUGAUCAGCCACACUGGGACUGAGACACGGCCCAGACUCCUACGGGAGGCAGCAGUGGGGAAUCUUGGACAAUGGGCGCAAGCCUGAUCCAGCCAUGCCGCGUGAGUGAAGAAGGCCUUCGGGUUGUAAAGCUCUUUUGCCAGGGACGAUAAUGACGGUACCUGGAGAAUAAGCCCCGGCAAACUUCGUGCCAGCCGCCGCCGUAA